GCCACCAGGACCGACCCAGGCCGCUGUCGCCGUGGGGAUCCCAGCGCCGCCGACGCCCUUCUCCCGUUUCUCUCUGCCCUAGUUUUGCACAGUGUCACCGCUACCACAACCGGCAACCGGCUGUCCUCCCUCUGCCGACGCCGACUCCUCCACUGUGCAGUGCCUAGCCGACUCCUUCCUUUGUCCUAGGUUCCCUCUUGUUGCUGGAUCCGAACCCUAACUCCUCUGGGUUGGGUUGUGGUCAGCCUACCCGACUGCAGCUUCUCCGGAUCUUGGCAGUAAGUUCUAUAGGAUUUGAGCAGUGUUGAGGCAUCAGGGAAUUUGGGUAAGGUUGGUGUUAAGUUAAUUACUGUUGAGGUGAGUAUGGGAAGAUGAACUUGAUGAUUUCGAUAGUUUGAGCUAUUGGUAUUACUUUUGUUAUGUAAGCAUAGGGUUAAUUAUAUUAAAUCCUGUGUAGACCUUAUAUGGUGAUUUCCUUUGCAGACAUUGUUGGAGAAAGCCCUAAUCGCUGUGAUCUUCCUUUUGUGUGAUCCAGAGGACCUUGACGCGAGACAAGUUUCUUAACGUCCGGAUUUGAACUGAUUGGAUCUUUCCUAUUGGAGGCGGGUACCUCUUGACUUAUCUUUUAUGAUAUUGUCAUUGGAUAUGCAUAGUAUUUUAUAACUACAUGCAAUGAACAUGUUUGCCUUUGGUAUGUCA